rnacentral:rRNA from 1 species
GACGAACGCUGGCGGCGUGCUUAACACAUGCAAGUCGAACGGUGAAGCGCCUUCCUUUUUGGUGGGUGUGGAUGAGUGGCGAACGGGUGAGUAACACGUGAGUAACCUGCCCCCUUCUUCUGGAUAACCGCAUGAAAGUGUGGCUAAUACGGGAUAUUCUGGGUCUGUCGCAUGAUGGGUCUGGGAAAGAUAUUGUUUCGGUGGGGGAUGGGCUCGCGGCGUGUCAGCUUGUUGGUGGGGUGAUGGCCUACGAAGGCGGUGACGGGUAGCCGGCCUGGGAGGGUGGACGGUCACACAGGGAGUGAGACACCGCCCAGACUCCGACGGGAGGCAGCAGUGGGGAAUAUUGCACGAUGGGCGCAAGCCUGAUGCAGCGACGCCGCGUGAGGGAUGGAGGCCUUCGGGUUGUGAACCUCUUUCGCCAGUGAAGCAGGCCUGCCUCGUUUGUGGGUGGGUUGACGGUAGCUGGAGAAGAAGCGCCGGCUAACUACGUG